rnacentral:rRNA from 1 species
AGCUUAAAAGUAGAGAUUGAUCCUGGCUCAGUAAGUCGUAACAAGGUAACCAAGUAGAGUUUGAUACUGGCUCAGUUGCUCUAGGAAUCUGCCUAAAAGUGGGGGACAACAUCUCGAAAGGGAUGCUAAUACCGCAUACGUCCUACGGGAGAAAGCAGGGGAUCUUCGGACCUUGCGCUAAUAGAUGAGCCUAAGUCGGAUUAGCUAGUUGGUGGGGUAAAGGCCUACCAAGGCGACGAUCUGUAGCGGGUCUGAGAGGAUGAUCCGCCACACUGGGACUGAGACACGGCCCAGACUCCUACGGGAGGCAGCAGUGGGGAAUAUUGGACAAUGGGGGGAACCCUGAUCCAGCCAUGCCGCGUGUGUGAAGAAGGCCUUAUGGUUGUAAAGCACUUUAAGCGAGGAGGAGGCUACUUUAGUUAAUACCUAGAGAUAGUGGACGUUACUCGCAGAAUAAGCACCGGCUAACUCUGUGCCAGCAGCCGCGGUAAUACAGAGGGUGCGAGCGUUAAUCGGAUUUACUGGGCGUAAAGCGUGCGUAGGCGGCUUAUUAAGUCGGAUGUGAAAUCCCCGAGCUUAACUUGGGAAUUGCAUUCGAUACUGGUGAGCUAGAGUAUGGGAGAGGAUGGUAGAAUUCCAGGUGUAGCGGUGAAAUGCGUAGAGAUCUGGAGGAAUACCGAUGGCGAAGGCAGCCAUCUGGCCUAAUACUGACGCUGAGGUACGAAAGCAUGGGGAGCAAACAGGAUUAGAUACCCUGGUAGUCCAUGCCGUAAACGAUGUCUACUAGCCGUUGGGGCCUUUGAGGCUUUAGUGGCGCAGCUAACGCGAUAAGUAGACCGCCUGGGGAGUACGGUCGCAAGACUAAGACUCAUAUGAAUUGACGGGGGCCCGCACAAGCGGUGGAGCAUGUGGUUUAAUUCGAUGCAACGCGAAGAACCUUACCUGGC